UUUUUUUUUUUUUUUUUUUUUUUUUCUUGC
rnacentral:ribozyme from 1 species